UGAUCAUGGCUCAGAUUGAACGCUGGCGGCAUGCCUUACACAUGCAAGUCGAACGGCAGCAUGAUCUAGCUUGCUAGAUUGAUGGCGAGUGGCGAACGGGUGAGUAAUACAUCGGAACGUGCCCUGUAGUGGGGGAUAACUAGUCGAAAGAUUAGCUAAUACCGCAUACGACCUGAGGGUGAAAGUGGGGGACCGCAAGGCCUCAUGCUAUAGGAGCGGCCGAUGUCUGAUUAGCUAGUUGGUGAGGUAAAGGCUCACCAAGGCGACGAUCAGUAGCUGGUCCGAGAGGACGAUCAGCCACACUGGGACUGAGACACGGCCCAUACUCCUACGGGAGGCAGCAGUGGGGAAUUUUGGACAAUGGGGGCAACCCUGAUCCAGCAAUGCCGCGUGUGUGAAGAAGGCCUUCGGGUUGUAAAGCACUUUUGUCCGGAAAGAAAUCGCACUUACUAAUAUUAGGUGUGGAUGACGGUACCGGAAGAAUAAGGACCGGCUAACUACGUGCCAGCAGCCGCGGUAAUACGUAGGGUCCAAGCGUUAAUCGGAAUUACUGGGCGUAAAGCGUGCGCAGGCGGUUGUGCAAGACCGAUGUGAAAUCCCCGGGCUUACCUGUGAAUUUGCAUUGGUGACUGCUCGGCUAGAGUGUGUCAUAGGGGGGUACAAUUCCACGUGUACAGUGAAAUGCAUANAGAUNNGGAGGAUUACUGAUGAGAAGCAGCCCCUGGGAUAACACUGACGCUCAUGCAAGAAGCGUGAGGAACCAACAGGAUUAGAUACCCUGGUAGUCCACGCCCUAAACGAUGUCAACUAGUGUUGGGGAUUCAUUUCAUUAGUAACGUAGCUAACGCGUGAAGUUGACCGCCUGGGGAGUACGGUCGCAAGAUUAAACUCAAAGGAAUUGACGGGGACCCGCACAAGCGGUGGAUGAUGUGGAUUAAUUUGAUGCAACGCGAAAAACCUUACCUACCCUUGACAUGCCACUAACGAAGCAGAGAUGCAUUAGGUGCUCGAAAGAGAAAGUGGACACAGGUGCUGCAUGGCUGUCGUCAGCUCGUGUCGUGAGAUGUUGGGUUAAGUCCCGCAACGAGCGCAACCCUUGUCUCUAGUUGCUACGAAAGGGCACUCUAGAGAGACUGCCGGUGACAAACCGGAGGAAGGUGGGGAUGACGUCAAGUCCUCAUGGCCCUUAUGGGUAGGGCUUCACACGUCAUACAAUGGUGCAUACAGAGGGUUGCCAAGCCGCGAGGUGGAGCUAAUCCCAGAAAAUGCAUCGUAGUCCGGAUCGUAGUCUGCAACUCGACUACGUGAAGCUGGAAUCGCUAGUAAUCGCGGAUCAGCAUGCCGCGGUGAAUACGUUCCCGGGUCUUGUACACACCGCCCGUCACACCAUGGGAGUGGGUUUUGCCAGAAGUAGUUAGCCUAACCGCAAG
rnacentral:rRNA from 1 species